rnacentral:rRNA from 1 species
AUGAACGCUGGCGGCGUGCCUAAUACAUGCAAGUCGAGCGAACGGACGAGAAGCUUGCUUUUCUGAUGUUAGCGGCGGACGGGUUAGUAACACGUGGAUAACCUACCUAUAAGACUGGGAUAACUUCGGGAAACCGGAGCUAAUACCGGAUAAUAUUUUGAACCGCAUGGUUCAAAAGUGAAAGACGGUCUUGCUGUCACUUAUAGAUGGAUCCGCGCUGCAUUAGCUAGUUGGUAAGGUAACGGCUUACCAAGGCAACGAUGCAUAGCCGACCUGAGAGGGUGAUCGGCCACACUGGAACUGAGACACGGUCCAGACUCCUACGGGAGGCAGCAGUAGGGAAUCUUCCGCAAUGGGCGAAAGCCUGACGGAGCAACGCCGCGUGAGUGAUGAAGGUCUUCGGAUCGUAAAACUCUGUUAUUAGGGAAGAACAUAUGUGUAAGUAACUGUGCACAUCUUGACGGUACCUAAUCAGAAAGCCACGGCUAACUACGUG